CGUCGACAUCACGUUGAAACCCUAAUUUCUGUACGAACACCGAAGUUAAGCAACGUCGAGCUUUGCAAGUACCUAAAUGAGUGACCGCUUUGGAAUUCCAGGUGUUGUAAG